UUGAGAGAAAGCCUGCUUAGAUAUGCAUACAUACUAGAGCCAAGUAAGCUCUGCCAUUAAAGCAUAUGGGAAGGUCUGAGGCGCCUCUUAGUAGAGAUCAAAAGGAGGAGACUCUUGGAGAAACAAACAGAAAACACUCUCUGUCUGUCGGUCUAAGAUACUCACGCAAGUGAGAGGAGACUUUGGGCAGAUGGGGAGAUGAGAAGUUUCACGGCGUUGAUUCUAAGUCCAAUAAGCAAGGCCUUGCGGUAAUCUCUGUUAAAGACAUUACUUGCAAGGUAACUCAAUUCAGACUACUCUUCUUUCAA
rnacentral:RNase_P_RNA from 1 species